rnacentral:rRNA from 1 species
GACGAACGCUGGCGGCGUGCCUAAUACAUGCAAGUAGAACGCUGAAGGAGGAGCUUGCUUCUCUGGAUGAGUUGCGAACGGGUGAGUAACGCGUAGGUAACCUGCCUGGUAGCGGGGGAUAACUAUUGGAAACGAUAGCUAAUACCGCAUAAUAGCAGUUGUUGCAUGACAACUGUUUGAAAGGUGCAAAUGCAUCACUACCAGAUGGACCUGCGUUGUAUUAGCUAGUUGGUGGGGUAAAGGCUCACCAAGGCGACGAUACAUAGCCGACCUGAGAGGGUGAUCGGCCACACUGGGACUGAGACACGGCCCAGACUCCUACGGGAGGCAGCAGUAGGGAAUCUUCGGCAAUGGACGGAAGUCUGACCGAGCAACGCCGCGUGAGUGAAGAAGGUUUUCGGAUCGUAAAGCUCGGUUGUAAGAGAAGAACGAGUGUGAGAGUGGAAAGUUCACACUGUGACGGUAUCUUACCAGAAAGGGACGGCUAACUACGUG